ACCUAAAUAAAUAAGUGUUUAGCUACCCUGAUAGCAGACUACUCCGAUCCGGAUCCGUUUUACCUCCGGCAGAUCCGCGCUACAGUCAGGUCUGUUUAGUGGAUCUGGUCCGGCUUCACUCCGGGUUCGGGUUAUGAUUGUGACUCACGUUCAGAUCCGUUUUACUGACGGUAAAUCCGCAUAACAGUCCGUCUCAUUUCACGCCUUCCAUACGACUUCGGCACGGAGUCAGAUACCAGAUGUGAGUUCAGUGUCAGUUCAGUGUCGUUUUGCGGAUCCGGGCCGCAUCGGCGGAGCGGCACAGGAGCGGGAGAAAUUCAAACUCAGCGCGAGGACCAACUGACAUCUGCUGAAUCUGCGCUUCAGGGCUGCUGAGGGCUGGGGACCUGAGAUAAGGUGUAAUCAUUUACCCAUCAAAUCACCUAACAAGCAGGAUUUGGUAUCCGCAAAAUGGUUCGAGGUCCUCAGCCCUCCCCCAGUACAGAGGAAAACUACCAAGGGCGGUACUCUCAUUAUAGGAGAUUCAAUUGUUAGACAUUUAAAAGUAUCUAAGAGUAAUGGCACAAUUUCAUGUCUUCCAGAUGCUUGCAUGCUGGUAGUCGGCAAGCGGCUCCCUGGGGCGCAUUGCCAAAGCAGGAACCCCGGCACCAUCGCCCUCCAUGUGGGGAUGAGCUUUCGGGAGCGACCGGCCCCGUUCCACAGAGACAGGCUUCUCUCUGUGAACAUCGAGGCGGUGCUACGCUGAGACUGACUGUCUCUACCCAGUCACACCAGCCAAGUAGGCUGCACUGUAGUGGUGUUAAGUGUCCAAGAAUGCUCUCAUCAGUGGAGGCACAGCUGGCUGCAAAAAACGUCUGUGUCUGCAUGUUUAUAUUAUGUGAAUUAAAAAUGGUUUUAUUAUUAAAAUAAUUGUA